CAUUCCUAGUUGCUGGGCGACAGAGCGAUUUUUGUUCGCGCAGAAUCGAACUUAAAUUUCUGACAUUGUAAAGAGAGCGGCAGUUAGUGUACGGAAAAUAUGUAAAUAUCUAAUGAAAAUAUUGUGCUGAAAAACAUAGCACAUUCUUGUUAAGUGUGUAAUUGACCAAAAACAUUACCAUGCCGAUCUGCGGGCUCUAAUAUGAUAUUCGAAAGUAGAUAUUUAUUUGUCUUUAAAAAUAAUUACUCCUUGGUGUAUUUAGCAAGUGUCAAAAUGUGUGAUUCUUUAAGGAGUUAAUUUGCGAAAUUUUAAGGCAAAAUUCAAGUCUGGAAGGAACCAAGCAAGUAGAUUGCAAACGUUGAACGUGCACCGAUUAUAGCCCUAAAUUGAAUAAAUCAAUAGAGUGAAGAGAGCAAUGUGCAAAAAAACAAAUUAUGUACGAAUUAUGAAAGCAAAAAAUUGUACUAAACAGAAGUAUGAAAUGUUUAUAUCAUCUAUUCCCUCUAUACUUUCUAUAUUUCCGUAUCGCGUGUGAGUGCUACUUUUGGCGAGACACGAAAAAUUUAUCUAACGAAGUGAUUGAAAAUGAGCUUGGUGUAUAACCUGCUAAAUUAUACAGUUGACUGCCCUGCGCUACUGGAGCAACUAAACUUCUUUAUUCAUGCGCGGAAUCUCCGACACGUCCCUCUUACACUGAGUUUCCUAAAUUUGAUUACCUCAAAUUUGCUCCCACGCCAAGAACUCUAUCUGAAUUAAAUAAUGUUCCUAACUUGGACCCGUCCCUGUCGCCUGGAGCUGUCCGGAGCCUACUGUAUAAUUAUUUUAACUAAUUACUUUAACUAGUUCCUAAGCAAUUCCUUUCUGUAGUCAGUAAGAAAUUAAUUGUUUCAUAUGACAUAAAUAAAUAAAUAAAUAAAUGGAGGCCUUUAAAAGGAGGGAG